GACCAUCCAAAGAUAGCUCAGUUGGUAGAACAUGAGACUCUUAGUCUCAGGGUCAUGCGUUCAAGCUCUAUGUUGGGCA